rnacentral:misc_RNA from 1 species
GGCUUUAUGGUUUAUUUUGUGAGGUAUUUUUUCAAAUUCAUCUUAUCAAUUUCAUUUUCAUGUGUGUCAUUUGAAUAUUUUGUACAUUUAAUGGCCUUAUGCUUGUAGAAUUUCUAGAACCACUAGCCAUGAUAUAUUUUAAAAUCUCAUUCUGCUUGCCUAUAUUGAGAACCCCAUUUAGCAAGGUGUAUUUGUACAUCUCUUAAUUGAAAAUUCAUAGUUAAAUCUAUAAAAUAAUCAGUCAGGGUUCUUACUGUUUAUUGAUUCCAUUUAUAAUGCUUCCUUGUUAAUGGAUUAGUCAAAGAUGCCUAGCUUUUGGUUAAUUGCUUCAAAUUGCUCUACAGGAAUGCCCU